GCCCCCCUAGCUCAGUGGUAGAGCGCGUUCUUGGUAAGAACGAGGUCACCGGAUCGAUUCCGGUGGGGGGCUCGA
rnacentral:tRNA from 2 species